UACAGGGGGUACAAACGUUGCUCGGAAUCAUUGGGCGUAAAGCGCACGUAGGCGGUCUGUUAUGUCGGAUGUGAAAGCCCUUGGCUCAACUGAGGAAGUGCAUCCGAAACUGGCAGGCUAGAGUACUAAAGAGGGUCGCGGAAUUCCCGGUGUAGAGGUGAAAUUCGUAGAUAUCGGGAGGAACACCGGUGGCGAAGGCGGCGACCUGGGUAGAUACUGACGCUGAGGUGCGAAAGCGUGGGGAGCAAACAGG
rnacentral:rRNA from 1 species